AAUAUUCUAAAAGGAGCGAAAGCGUGAUGCAUCAACCCCGCGUGAGUGAUGAAGGCCACCUGGGCGUUCUGUUCUUCGAUCAGGGACGAUAAUGAUAGCAGCUGAAAAACAAGACACGGCUACCUACGUACCAGCAGCCGCGGUAAUACGUAGGUGGCGAGCGUUGUCCGGAAUUACUGGUCGUAAAGGAUGCGUAGGUGGAUAUUUAAGUGGGAUAUGAAAUCCCCGGGGUCAACCCGGGAACUGCAUGCCAAACUGGGUAUCUAGAGUGCAGGAGAGGAAAGCGGAAUUCCUAGUGUAGCGAUGAAAUGCGUAGAUAUUAGGAGGAACACCAGUGGCGAAGGCGGCUUUCUGGACUGUAACUGACACUGAGGCAUGAAAGCGUGGGUAGCAAACAGG
rnacentral:rRNA from 1 species